rnacentral:lncRNA from 1 species
CAAAAUCAAUUCUCAAUCCAGAAAGCAGCAAUCAGGAUCGCUACCUUGCAUUGAACUCUUCUGAAGGUUUGGCAGAAAAUACCACAAGGACAAUACCAGCAUCAAUUCGCACAUUAUUUCUCCAUCUAGAGGGUGGCGUAUCUACUGACAUGCUUUUAAGAUUCAAGUGCUUGCAUGUUCUCAGAUUGUCCGGCGAUGAUGUCAAGUUUCUACCGAGCUCCAUUGGCAAACUACUACAUUUGCGGUUGCUCGACAUUUCAUGUUCUCUAAUCACAAGUUUGCCGGAAACUCUUUCCAAGCUAUAUAAUAUGCAGACACUAACGAUGAGAGAUCAUGCAUUUGGAGGAGGUUUUCCAAAACAGAUGAGUGAUUUGAUCAGCUUGCGGCAUCUAAACUACUACCAUGGUUAUGCGGAAUUUGAAAUGCCGGUGCAGAUGGGACGAUUGACUUGUCUUCAAACUCUGGAGUUUUUUAAUGUAAGUCAAGAGAGGGGUCGUGGUAUCGAAGAGCUUGGGACCUUGAAAUAUCUGAAAGGAUCGUUGGAGAUAAGAAAUCUUGGACUAGUGAAGGGCAAAGAAGCAGCUAGACAAGCAAAAUUGUUCGAAAAGCCAGAUCUGUCUCGCUUGGCAUUUGAAUGGAAUAGGAGGGAUCUGAAAAGUGAUAACCAUGAUGAGGAUGUGUUGGAAGGUCUCCAACCUCACCCAAAUUUGGAAAAGCUGAGGAUUUAUUGUUUUAUGGGUAAUAAAUUUCCGCAAUGGUUUAUGAAUUUGUCAAAAUUGGAGACAUUACAGAUAGAAGACUGCAAGAGAUGCAGUGAACUCCCCUCAUUAGGGCAACUGCCAUCCCUCAAAAGUCUCUAUUUGAGAAGCUUGGACAACAUUCGAUUUAUUGGAGAUGAAUUCUACGGUAUUACUGCUAAUGAGGAGGAGGAGGAGGAGGGCAGAUCACGAGCAUCAGGGAGCAGCACUAGAAGACGAAAAUUCUUUGCUGCCCUUGAAGAACUCAAAGUAGAAGAUAUGGAGAAUUUGGUAGAGUGGAAGGAUGCAGACCAAGUGAGGUCAACAGUAGGUGAAGCAGAAGCAGAUGUCUUUCCCAUGCUGAGGAAAUUGAGCAUUCAAUAUUGCCCACAACUGACCACUCUUCCAUGCUCGUGUAAAAGUCUACACGUGGAGAGUUGCGAUAAUCUAACAAGUAUAAAAAUGGGUUACGGCGCUGCUUCUGUUGAGGAGUGGUGGAUCGACUCUUGCGACAAUCUUAGGGAGCUGCCAGAUCUGGAUCUGUUUGGAUCGAGUUUGCAGCGAUUGACCAUCGCAAGUUGCCCAAGAUUAAUUAGUCUAGGAGUAAAUGGACAGAAAUGCCCCCUACCAUGCCUUGAGAAAUUGAGAAUUAAUAAUUGCGAAGGGUUGACCACUAUAUCCGACAAAAUGUUCGAGUCAUGCCCGUCUCUGCGGUCCCUGUGGGUGAUGAGGUGCCCCAAUUUGUUCUCGUUUUCGCUUAAUUUGCAGGAGAUGUCUUCUCUCGAGGAAUUCAUCUUAGUCGAAUGUCCCAAAUUGAUCCCUCAUAGGUUCAAUGGAUUUGCUUUUGCCACCAGCUUAAGAGAAUUGAGGAUUGGUCCCUUCUCCUCAGAUGACUCCUCAAUCGAUGAUUUUGAUUGGUCCGCAUCAACACUUCGUGAGCUUGAAUUACGAGGGUUGCCUCACUCGGAUUCCCUGCCACACCAGCUUCAAUACUUGACUACCCUCACUUCACUAAGGCUGGAGAACUUUGGAGGAAUAGAGGUGCUACCUGAUUGGAUUGGAAACCUUGUGUCCCUUGAAACCCUAUCGCUAUGGUCUUGCCAAAAGCUUCAGUCUUUACCACCCGAGGCCGCCAUGAGACGACUCACAAAGUUAACUCGUGUCGACGUCUUUGAUUGUCCUCUAUUAAGACAAUGAUACACUCCCCAAAGAGGCAUCUACUUGGAGGAGGAGAUUUCAAGUGAUCCGGUGAGAUUUUCCUAUCUAAAGUUCACACUCAUAUAUAUGUAUACAAAUUUUUUGUUUCUGCAUCUCAUUGACAUAUAUUUGCUCUUCAGUCUCUUGUACUCUUUUUCUCCAUCUCUUUUCCCCAAAGUUAUUCUCCGUAAUUAAUUCUCUUCUUUUGGGCAGACCUUGGUUUCUUUUCAAAGAUUAGUUUUAACAAAGCCUGGUUUUGAGCAAAUUAGAAGAGACCAAAAUUCUAUAUUUUCUCUGCAUCUCGCCAUUGAAAGAUUUUGAACAUCUUAAAAACUCAACUUGUUACCUUCUAUUUGGCCAAGCAUGAAAUUAUUAGCAACGCUGCAUACACAAUUAGCCUCUUUGUUUGAAUGUGUUAGCAAAUGACUCGAAUCAAAGGACACAUAGAAUGCUCUCUUUUUUUGAAUCGAAUUCAUCAAUAUCUUUCCAUAUAUUUAAAUUAAUUUUAUUAAGUUUUCUUCUCCACUAAUCCGACAAGUUAUCUUCAGUCUAAUCCAACAAGUUAUCUUCAGUCUACUAAAUUUAAAUAAUUCCAUUUCUCAAUUUGAUUCAUAAUUACAUAAGCAAUCAAGAAGCUGGUUGAUGAAAGGAAGAAGUCCUCAUCCAUUUUAAAUCUCUUUGUUUCCCAUCUUGAUUGCUUAAGUAGUCAAGAAGAGUUGGCUUAAUUGUUUAAGUAAUCGAGAAGAUUCUUUGCAGUGUGAAUAACAAAUAAACAUUGAGAAAAAAGAAAGAAAAAGAAAAAUGCAAAGUAGGAAGAUGCAUUUUCGAGGAAGCAACCACCAGGCAUACUCUAAUACCAACCAGAUUAAAUAAAUGAACUCGAUAAAUAAAGUAGAAUAAAUUGAUUAAUCAGGGCGAGAUUUCAGAUCUAUGUCUCCUGUUGCCAGCCCUCAAUCAGUUUAGUUAAGUCAACUCUUCUGAGUUUUGUGCACUGUUACAUUAAUCGCAAUUAUACUAAUCUGAAUCUCACACAUCAAAUUUGUUGAUUACUACUCCAAUUACCCAUUCACAACAUAGGUAUCAACUGCCACGCAUUGCGUGGGACUCUCCCCUAAUAGUUAAUAAGAUGAAGAAGUCAUUAUCCAUUCUCGCUUCUUUUAUUUCUUGUCUUAAUUAUUGAAGUAACCAAGAAGUCAUUAGAUGAAUGAUCCCAUGAUCCAUUCUCCUUUCCUUGUUUCUUGUCACAAUCCAUUGGGAAUAUGUUUAGCAAGAUGAUUAAUUAUAUGAAUCCCAUUUUUAUUUAUUUUACUGAUAGUGCCACUGAAAACUACUGCUGAAUAGGAUCUACUAAUAGUAUCACUGAAAAUAACUACUGCAAACUCAACUCGUCCAAAAUUUUCUCAACUCGUCCUACCUUUCAUCACUUUAAUUUCAGUUUCAUCCAAUCACUUUCGGUUUUCAAUUUCAACAAAUAGGAGAAACUGGUUAUGUACAUUUCCCAGCUCUGAAAAUUCAUUUAAAUUACCAAAAGCUAUAGCAUUGACACAAGAAAGUUAUGAAUGAAAAAGGAACCAAACCAUAAUACUUCUUAAUCGCAUCAAAAAGCACUCUUUCCGCUAUUAAAGUUUUUAGCUUCCGAAGCUUCAAAAAAAAAAAAAGUGUACGUGACCGCACGAAUAAUUGACUAAAAAAAUUGAUGUGAAGAUGUCAUAUGCCAUUUUCACUUCUUUAUUUCAUUUCUUAAUUACUGUUUAUCGAUGGAAUCAAGAGGAUGCUUGCUGGUGUAAAUAAUACCAAAUUGAAAUGUGAAAAAUAAAAAGAGAAUCAAAUUGUGCAACUUCGAGGAAGUUGUUACGUGCGUCCACUCUAUCCAUGGUCACUUUAUUAUUCUUUGUUCUUGGCCUCUGUGGCGCUUUUCACAUUUUCCAGAUCUGAAACAAGUCCUUAAUCUGUUUUUUUUUUUGGCAACCACUUUCAUUUCUUUAUCUUUUAUUACACGAGAAGAUGUUUGAAGCAAAGAAGAAGCAAUAUUGCCCAAUGAGCAUCUAAAGUCCACAUGUAAUCACAAGCCGCUAGAGUUGCCGAGUGGAGGGCACUUUUUAAUAAUUUUAUUCCUAGAGAACAUAAAAAAGAGGUACUGCCUACUACUAGUCACUUCUCCUUGAGGACUUGGGAGGCGGAGUUGGAACUUUUGGGGUGUUGAUAUGGAAGUGAUGGAAACUUGAAGCUUGGAGUGCAAAAAAGAAAAAAAAAAAGAAAAAAGCGUUUGGUCAAAAACUUGUUUAUCAAACAAACCCAAAAAAUUAGUUUGGUGAGAAUAUAAAAGAGUUAGUGGGAGAUCAUUAUUCGUUAUUCUACCAAAUUGAAAUUUCUCGAUCUUUGCUUCUUCCAUUUCUCCUAGCAAAAACCCUUGCUUUCUUAGUUCUUUUCAUUUCCUCACAAACGAUCACACUUGGGAAAUCAAGCUUAAGCAAGUGCUUCUCAAGAGCUAGGAGAUCUUCCUUUAUAACUUAAUCAAGGUAACUCUUGCAUCUUUUAAGUUUUCUUUACUUGACUUGAUUUGGUUUUGGGUUUAAUGUAAGUUAAGCUUUGGUUUUGAGUGGACCUUUUGGUAGAGAUCCUUAUAUAUGUGGUAGUUUGGUGAUUGUGGUUAUUUUUUUAUUGAGGGAUAAUUGUUGAAGUUUUGGAUGUUUGGUGAUGUUUUGGGUUGAUUUGUACUUGGUUGUUGUACUGGGUUGGACAUAGGUAGAAGAGGUGAAAAAGGAAGUAAAGCUCGAAAUUUUUAUUAUCACAAUGACAAAACUAAUUAGUAUCACAUUUGCCAUUGAUCUAAAACAAGCUAUUGAUGAAAACUAGUGUCACGGAUUCAUCUUAAUGGAGUACUAUUAAAUGGAAUUUAUUUGAAUAACUAAAGGCCACCAGCGUCACAAGUCAUUAGGGGUGUGAAUCGGAAUCGAAAUUGGUAAUUUGGAACUUUGAAAUUGAAAUUUUUUGAAAUUUGGGUAUUAGAAUUUUCGACCAAAUUCGAUUUCAAGUUCACCAACUCCAAAUUCAAUUUGGAAUUCCGAUUUCACCGAAUUCAUGAAUAUAAAAAUUAUUAUUAUUAUAAUAUAAAUAUUAUAUUACAUAUAUAUAUAAAAAUAUUAUAUAUAUAUGUGAAAACAAAAUUGAAAUCGAAAUAGGAAUUCCGAAUUCCGAUUUCGAUUUCGAUUUCAAUUUCGAAUUGUGAAUUCGAAAUCGAAAUUUUGGAUUUGAAAAAUCUCAUUACCGAAUUCGACCAAUUCGAAAUCGAAUAUUCCGAUUUCCAUUCCGAAUUAUCAAAUUCGAAAUUUCGAAUUUAAUUCGAAUUCAGUCGAUGAAUCGAAAUUUUUUGACUUUGCACACUCCUACAAAUCAUUGACCAAAGCCAGUUUUGCAGUCUCAUCAUACCUAGGGAUGGCAACGGGGCGUGGUUGGGGCGGGGGACCCCUCCCCCACCCCCCGCCCCGUUGCCUAUUAGUUCCCCCCGUCCCCCGCCCCGUCCCCCGCCUCCCGCUCCCCCAGCCCCGCCCCUCCCCCGCCCCGUCUUGCCCCGCUUCCCCCGCUGGGGCACCCGCGGGGUUAAUAUAAUUUUAUUAUAAUUAAAUUUUAAUAAAUAAUCAAGUACUAAAAUAUCAACACAUCACCAAAUUAUUAUUCAUUGUAAUUUUACAAUUGAAACUCAUAAAAACAAUCAAACAGAAGUUAUUUGAAUACAAUCCAAUAUGAUGAAAUAAAUAUAACUAAAAUAGUCAAGUUUUCACUUUUAGUACAAAUGCAAUCACUAAUUCAUUAUUGUAUUUGUGCUUUUUUUUGAGAAAAAAGUGUUAUUCUAUUAAGUGUAAUUAGAAAUUUAGUAUAAAUGUAUUAGUAAAUUUAGUAUAACUAAUUAAUAAAUUCUAUUAGUAGACAUGUAUAAUUAUUCAUAUAAUUGAUAAUAUCAAUUAUAUUACAUAAACUAAUAUACAUUAUAUAAUACAUCUAACUAAUAAUAUCAUUAUCAUAAGUUUAUAACUAAUUAACUUACAUAUUAUAUAUAAUUAUAUAUAUAUAUUUUUUUUUGUUUUGCGGGUGGCGGGGCGGGGGUAUGCUCCCCCGCCCCCCGCCCCGUUUCUUAGCGGGGGGAAAAAUUCCCCCCGCCCCCGCCCCAACCCCCGCCCCGAGAGCCCCCCGCCCCCAUUGCCAUCCCUAAUCAUACCUUAGAACGAGUCUUUGUGAUUAACAUAUUUUUUUUAAUAAUUCAUGCUUUUCUUGGAGCAUUGGGGAGCCAUCAAUGUAGCAAUUAUGAGAGGUGAUAACAAAUAUUGCAGCACAGUGAAGGGAAUUCAAGCAAAAAGCAUCCAGUAGCUGUGGUACAAAUACACGAUUAAGUGAAUAAUUAACAAAUAGUCGAUGAGAAGCUGUCCUCACUUCUUUAUUUUUGGUCUUAAUUACUAUAAUAAUAAUAAUAAUUAAGAAGUGGCUUGAUGGGAUGAAAAUGUCACAGCACAUUUCUUUGUUUCUCGUCUCAGUUCCUUCAGUAAUCAAGAAGAUGAUUUGUAAAUGCAAAUAAUAAAGUAACAAUAAGAAAAAAAUUAUAAAAAAAAGAAAAAAAAAAGCAAGAAGAUGCAAUUUGGAGGAAGUAGCCACUGUGUUUUGACCAUGACAGAUGCUUAUCAAGAUGACUAAUUUAAACUAGAAAACUUUGAAAAAGGUAAAGUGAUGCAUCAUGUUUCUUUUUUUUUUUUUGGGUGUUGCUUUCUUGACCAACAAAUAUCUGAACUAUAUCUUACCUACUUAGUAAAAAAAAUUAAAAAGAUAAUAAAAAAACAUGUCCUAGCUGCAAUUGUACUUUUCCACUUCCUUGUUUUUUUAAAAUUAAUUCCGACGAAGCAAAUUAGCCAUACUUUCUGCUAGAUAGAAUUUUUAGACAACCAAAGGCCGCCUACAUUGGCAAAACUAAUUACUCUCACAACUAGUUUCGGGUAGAAUUUUUAAAUAUCCGACAAAGGAAAAUUAGCAGCAUUAGAUAGAAUUUUCUAAACGACCAUUCUAUCUAAACGACUAAUGGCCACCACCAUUAAUCAAACUAGUAUUGAUACGGUCGACAAGAUUUUUUUUUUUUUUUGACAAAACAUAUGUCAAUAUUAUUAACAAUCUAGUUGGAAAUCAUCCACCACAAUUUGUUAAUUGUUUGACAAAGUAAUCUACACUAAUGGUAGAAAAUACAUUAAGCAUGUUACAGAUAUAUUUCAUCUGAAAAAUUAUAAGAUUUAAUAGAGUUACAAAAUAUAAAAGAUUACGCUGUAAAUCACAAAUCAUCAAAUCUGACUAAUUGAACGAGCCGCUUCAUAGAUAUCUAUGCAUGUCUAUUCUUUCAGAUCUAUUGUCCAACUGGUUUGACCUCAAAACUGAUGUUGAGAUUUGACGAAAAGACCUAAAAAAUUUUAGACCUAACAUAUAGAUUUGAAGAAAUUCUUAGAUUUGAGAAAAUAAAUAACAAAAAAAACACUAAACAAAACUCUCACCAAGAUAGUUUGGGAGAGAAAAAAACUCUCAUUAGGAUACUUUAGAAGAGAUUUUAUUAAAUAAAAGUAAGCACAAAGAGGAAGGGAGACCUUGGCUUAGGGCCAAGAUCUUCCUAUGGAGGACGAAGAGUAGAGAGAAAGUUGAGAGAUAAGGGGAAAAAGAAGGUUGAGGGAAAAGAGAAAAUAGCCCCUACGGCCGACAAGAUUUUCGUCUAAGCUUUCACACAGCUAUUCUUUAUCAAAUCAUGCAACACAUAUUUAUUUGCGAACCAAAACUUGUAACAAAUAUUACAACCGGUUGACACAUUAAAAUCGUACUUAGCCAUAUUUCUAGAUUACAUAAUCUUGAGGGAUGCUUUUAACUUCUCUGGCCAAUACAACCAUAGACACGGAUUGGUUAAAUGAGUAUAGGGGCAAUUUUAAUGAUAAAAAAAUACAGAAAGUGGAAGACUGGUGGAUGAGUAUUGGUGUGUCAACCAUCAUUUACAGAAAAAAAAAUACAGAAAUGAUAAAAAAAAAUGGUGGAUUGGUUAAAUGAGUAUAGGCGAAAUUUCAAUGAUAAAAAAAAUACAGAAAGUGGAAGACUGGUGGAUGAGUUUUGGAGUGUCAACCAUCAUUUACCUUGUAGUUCUGAAUAAUAGCAUAUAGAUUCUUUAUACUUUUAAGCACAUUCAAUUAAGAUGUCUCAAUUUAGAACUUAGAGACAGAAUUUAAAGUUUAGAGACAGACUAAGGGUCUGUUUGAUAAUAUAAUAAAGUGCUGAAACUGAACCUUUUCAGACAUUCAGAUGUUUUGAGUGUUUAAUAAAUGAAAAUCCAUCUGCUGAACUUGUUAAGUAAUGCUAAACUUGCAUGUAUUUUUUUCAGUACAAAAAUCCUAACUGAAUGCUUAAUUCUGAUAAAAAUCAGUAGAAUUAUUUCAACUACCUUAUCUUAUCUACCAAAUCUACCCUUGUUUGUUAAUUAUAUUCAAAAUUAUUAUCUAAUUAAACAACCUGAUAUUCUCUAUCAAACGAUUUUCUGUUUCUUUUUUCUCCUUUUUUAAUGACUUUCACAUUUUCUCCAUACUCCUCAUAUAAUAUAUUUCAUCUUUUAUAUUAAUUUGAUUUAAAAAUAAAUUAUUGUCGUUUUCAUACCUAAUAAUUUUAAACUAAUUAAAUCAUAGGUUCUAUUUCUUUUUUAAAUGAAAGAUAUAAGGGCAAAAUUAUCAAAUUAAACUUAUUACGCACUCGGUUAUAAAUAUUUGUCAAACAGUAUAAAUAGGUUUAACAUUAAAAUUUAGACAUUCAUAUAUUUUUCUUUUCAGUGCUUAAAAUUCAGCAAAAUAAUUGUUUCAGUAUUCAAAUUUCAAAAUUCAGACUUCAGAAUUCAAAUAUAGUUUAAUCAAACGGAACCUAAAUUAAGAAUCAUGCUAUAGUUAAAGGAUUAAAGUAUCCUAAUUUAGAAUUUAAGAGCUAAAGCGUCAUGUGCGGUUAUCACAAUUCUUACAGGCCCUUAAUCUGGUAUACCACCAGGGCGGAAUUAAGGUGGGGGCACUGGGGCACGGACCCCCACUGUCCCCCUUAAAUUCUUAUAAUAUUUGUACAAUUUUAACGUAAUUUUGAGUGUGCCCCCACUCCCCAAAUUCCCUUUCCUCCUAUGUCCCCAAUUUUCCCUCCCACAACUGAUGGUUUCUCUUUUUUAAUCCAUCAUUUACUUCCUUUGUCCCCACUUCCCAAUUUCCCUUUCCUCCAUCAUUUAUUGCUCCUCUGGUUUCCCAUUUUCCCCCAACAGAGCCACAAAUCUAUCCGCACCGAACCUUGAUCAUAAGGACCUCCUAUCUGCCGUCCCACACUGAAUUGGAUGUUCUAAGUUGGAUAUUCUUGCACUUGACACUGAAUUGGAUACUUAUAUUAAUGACUUGAAAUCAGCCAAGGAAUUUCUUGAUUUAAGAAAAAUCUCUGAUCUAGCUUAAAGGUUGGUGGAGACUAAGAGAGAUAUUGUGUAUCCAUUGGUUAAUAUGCUCUUAAAGUUGGCUUUGAUUUUGCCUGUUACUACAGUUACAGUAGAAAGGGCUUUUUCAGUUAUGAAUAUAGUGAAGAAUCGGUUACGAAAUAAAAUGGGAAACACUUUGAUGAAUAAUUGUUUAGUUACUUAUAAUGAGAAAAAUAUACUUCGUGAAGUUCAAAAUGAGAAAGUCGUAAACCGUUAUCAAAAUAUGAAAACUCAUCGUGAACAAUUGUAAAUAGUUUAGUUUGUUUUUGAAAUAAAAUUAUUAUUACAUUAAUAAUUUUGAGUUUGUCUUUUUUUGUUUUUCAUGGAAUAUACGUAUUAUUUGUACUUGUUGGUGAAUUUUUUUUUUUUUUGCUUAAAAAACUAGAAAAAGAGCAGAUAAAAAAAUUUUACUGUUAUUUUUGUCCCCAUUGAGAUUUUUUUCUAGCACCGCCACUGUAUACCACCACUAUUUCUUGAGGUUUGCUUAUUUUAUUAAGCAACAUAUAAAUCAAGUAGUAAUUGAAGUUACUGGUUUAUACAAUUGUAAUUUCAUUCGAAUGCCGAGAUCAGAGAUAGUCUCUCUUUUUUUUUUUGCAAAACAAGAUAAAAACCAAGCAAGUUCCAUACUAUGAAAGUCCUGUCAACCUCAUUUUAAUGUUAGAAUGUAAGAAAGAAGUCCUAACAACCACCGAACACUUUGUUAUGAUUCAAUUAAUUCAUUGGGUUGAGCAAAGAAACUGAGGUUUCAAUUCCAGCAAGAAAAGGAUACUCUGUCUAUCAGCCACCUCUUUUUAGACAUAUUUUAAAAGACUAAAGGGCUCCAGCAUUGACCCAACAAAAGAGGUAGUUUUUUCAUUUUUUAUCUAUUAGAUUUGAGUUUUUUCACGAAUUGAUUAUCAAAUUUGGAAUUUCUUAGGUCCAUUUGCUAGAUUUCGCUAUAAUAUUUGAACUUGAAAUACUUAAUUAGCAGAUCUAUCAAUUGAAAACAUACAUAGAUAUUCGUGGGACCAUAAUUAUUUUAUUUCACUUUUUAAAAUAUUUUUUGGAGGUUUACAAUGUAAUUUUUAUCUAUUUUUCGGAUCUAUACUAUCCAUACUUCAGAUUUGGUCUUUGAUAUUUGUGUAUAUUUGAUGAUAUAAUUUUUGCCAUUAGUGCAAAUUUUAAUGAAAUUAUGAUGUUUGAUAUAUAAAAAAAACGUCUACUAAAUUUAAAUAAUUCCAUUUCUCAAAUUGUCCUCAUCGAUUCUAAUCUGUUUGUUCCCUGUCUUAAUUGCAUAAGUAGUCAUGAAGAGUUGGCUUAAUUGUUUAAGUAGUCGAGAAGAUUCUUUGCAGUGUGAAUAACAAAUAAACAUUAAGGGAAAAAAAGGAAAAGAAAAAUGCAAAGUAGGAAGAUGCAUUUCGAGGAAGUAACCACCAGGCAUAUUCUAAUACCAGCCAGAUUGAAUAAAUGAACUAGAUAGAUAAAGUAGAAUAAAUUGAUUAAUCAAGGCGAGAUUUUAGAUCUAUGUCCCCUGUUGCCAGCCCCUCAAUCAGUUUAGUUAAGUCAACUCUCUUGAGUUUUGUGCACUGUUACAUUAAUCGCAAUUAUACUAAUCUGAAUCUCACACAUCAACCCACGAAGGAAUCGUUAACUCAUCUCUUUCUUGUUCUGGGCUUCUAUUCUGAUUUCUACCAUUUGUUGCUGAAAACAUUCCUUCCAUCUCUGAUAUCAGAAAACCUUUCGAUCCCAGUUCCAAUUCCAAGCAAGAAACAAUGGCUGAAGCUGCUAUCAGUGCAACUGUUAAGGUCCUCUUGGGGACAGUUAUUUCCAUUGCUGCGGACCGCAUUGGUAUGGUUCGGGAGGUCGAAGCGGAGUUGGAGAGACUAAGCAAUACUGCUGCAAUGAUCCAAGGUUUCCUGGCUGAUGCUGACGGGAAAAUCCAUAGCCAAGGGGUGCGAGAGUGGCUCAAGCAGCUAGAGGAUGAGGUUUUUAAAGCUGAUACCGUGCUGGACGAGCUCCACUACGACAAUCUUCGUCGGGAGGUGAAGUACCGAAAUCAACUCAUCAAGAAGAAGGUAUGCUUCAUCUUCUCCUCCUUUAAUGCAAUUGGUUUUAGUUCCAGUUUGGCUUCAAAGAUCCGGGACAUCAACACCAACCUAGAGAGGAUCAACCAGGGAGCCGGUCGCUUGGGAUUGACCAACCAAAUUGAAGCUGCACCCCCUGCUGAUGCCGCUGGUGCCAGACAGACCGACUCUAUUGUCGUUCCGAACGUUGUAGGAAGAUCCGGCGACGAGUCAAAGAUUGUGGACAUGUUAUCGAGCCCAUCUGAAAAGGUUCUUUCUGUUAUUCCCAUAGCAGGCCCGGGAGGUUUGGGAAAGACAACUCUUGCUAAAUCAGUCUACAACAAUCCAAAAAUUGAUGAGAAUUUUGGCAUAAAGAGUUGGGUUUGUGUGGCUAGAAAAAUUGAUACAGUGGGGCUGUUCAAACUCAUUUUAGAAUCGUUGACAAAAACAAAGGUUGAAGUGGAUGGUAGGGAAGCCAUAGUUCAAGAAGUUCGAGGAAAGCUCAAGGGACAAAGAUAUUUCCUUGUUCUUGAUGAUGUGUGGGAUCAUGAACAAGGAUCGUGGGAUGACUAUUUCAACACUUUGAUGGGACUCAACGAAACCAAAGGAAGCUGGUGUCUUCUCACUACUCGUCUAGAAUAUGUGGCUAAUGCUGUGCCUAGAGAUUUGCAAAUGAAUGAUCGUCCUUAUUUCUUAGGAAAGCUAUCAGGUGAUGAGUGCUGGUCCAUCAUAAAAGGAAAGGUGAUGAGUGCAGGGGAAGAAGUACCAGAAGAAUUGGAAGCACUGAAGGAGCAAAUUUUAAGGAGAUGCGAUGGCCUACCCUUGGCGGCAAGUUUGAUUGGUGGCUUGUUGCAUACCAACAGAAGAGAGAAGUGGCACUCCAUUGUGCAGGAGAGCCUUUUGAAUGAAUAUCAAAGCCAAAUUAAUCAAAUACUUAAGGUGAGCUUUGAUCAUUUAUCAUCUCCAUCAAUUAAGAAAUGUUUUGCAUAUUGCUCGAUUUUUCCCCAGGACACUGAAUUAGGAGAAGAUGAACUAAUUCAGCACUGGGUUGCUAAAGGUUUUGUUCUACCAGAUCAGGAAAACACAAGAAUGAUGGAGGAAAGAGGAGGCGAGUAUUUAAGGAUUUUGUUACAAAGUUCCUUACUAGAAAAAGUCGAAGAUGAGGGGAGCACAUAUUAUAAAAUGCACGAUCUCGUGCAUGAUUUUGCAAAAUCAAUUCUCAAACCAGAAAGCAGCAAUCAGGAUCGCUACCUUGCAUUGGACUCUUCUAAAGGUUUGGAAGAAAAUACCAUAAGGACAAUACCAGCAUCAAUUCGCACAUUAUUUCUCCAUCUAGAGGGUGGCGUAUCUACUGACAUGAACAUGCUUUUAAGAUUCAAGUGCUUGCAUGUUCUCAAAUUGUCUGGAUAUGAUGUCGAGUCUCUACCGAGCUCCAUUGGCAAACUACUACAUUUGCGGCUGCUCGACAUUUC